rnacentral:piRNA from 1 species
UAAAGAGUCCUAAAGGUAACACAGAAGCCA